rnacentral:rRNA from 1 species
GACGAACGCUGGCGGCGUGCCUAAUACAUGCAAGUCGAGCGGACUAAUGGGAGCUUGCUCCCGUUAGUUAGCGGCGGACGGGUGAGUAACACGUGGGCAACCUACCUGUAAGACUGGGAUAACUUCGGGAAACCGGAGCUAAUACCGGAUGACAUAAAGGAACUCCUGUUCCUUUAUUGAGAGAUGGCUUCGGCUAUCACUUACAGAUGGGCCCGCGGCGCAUUAGCUAGUUGGUGAGGUAACGGCUCACCAAGGCGACGAUGCGUAGCCGACCUGAGAGGGUGAUCGGCCACACUGGGACUGAGACACGGCCCAGACUCCGACGGGAGGCAGCAGUAGGGAAUCUUCCGCAAUGGACGAAAGUCUGACGGAGCAACGCCGCGUGAGCGAUGAAGGCCUUCGGGUCGUAAAGCUCUGUUGUUAGGGAAGAAUAAGUGCUAGUUGAAUAAGCUGGCACCUUGACGGUACCUAACCAGAAAGCCACGGCUAACUACGUGCCAGCCGCCGCCGUAA